rnacentral:rRNA from 1 species
CAGUUUGAUCAUGGCUCAGAACGAACGCUGGCGGCAUGCCUAACACAUGCAAGUCGAACGCCUCUAGCAAUAGAGGAGUGGCGCACGGGUGAGUAACGCGUGGGAACCUGCCCUGGAGUGUGGGAUAACCCGGCGAAAGCCGGGCUAAUACCGCAUACGACCUGAGGGUGAAAGAUUUAUCGCUCUAGGAGGGGCCCGCGUCGGAUUAGCUAGUUGGUGAGGUAACGGCUCACCAAGGCGAUGAUCCGUAGCUGGUCUGAGAGGAUGAUCAGCCACACUGGGACUGAGACACGGCCCAGACUCCUACGGGAGGCAGCAGUGGGGAAUAUUGGACAAUGGGCGCAAGCCUGAUCCAGCCAUGCCGCGUGAGUGAUGAAGGCCUUAGGGUUGUAAAGCUCUUUUGUCCGGGACGAUAAUGACGGUACCGGAAGAAUAAGCCCCGGCUAACUUCGUGCCAGCAGCCGCGGUAGUCGGGCCCAAU